rnacentral:rRNA from 1 species
GUGCAGAGCCGCGGUAAUACCGGCAGCCCGAGUGAUGGCCGAUCUUAUUGGGCCUAAAGCGUCCGUAGCUGGCCGAACAAGUCCGUCGGGAAAUCCACGUGCUUAACACGUGGGCGACCGGCGGAAACUGUUCGGCUUGGGGCCGGAGGACCCGAGGGGUACGUCCGGGGUAGGAGUGAAAUCCUGUAAUCCUGGACGGACCGCCGGUGGCGAAAGCGCCUCGGGAAGACGGACCCGACAGUGAGGGACGAAAGCUGGGAUCUCGAACCGGAUUAGAAACCCCUGUAGUCC